UACGUAGGGCGCAAGCGUUGUCCGGAAUUAUUGGGCGUAAAGAGCUCGUAGGCGGUUUGUCGCGUCUGCUGUGAAAACUCAGGGCUUAACCCUGAGCCUGCAGUGGGUACGGGCAGACUAGAGUGUGGUAGGGGAGAUCGGAAUUCCUGGUGUAGCGGUGGAAUGCGCAGAUAUCAGGAGGAACACCCGUAGCGAAGGCGGCACUCUGGGCCGGAACUGACGCUGAGGAGCGAAAGCGUGGGGAGCGAACAGG
rnacentral:rRNA from 1 species